rnacentral:tRNA from 1 species
GAGGGUACAGCUCAGUGGCAGAGUGCCUGCUUAGCCUGCACAAGGUCCUGGGUUCAACUGCCAGUACCUUCA